UACGUAGGGUCCAAGCGUUGAUCGGAAUUACUGGGCGUAAAGCGUGCGUAGGCGGUCUCGCAAGUCCGAUGUGAAAUCCCCGGGCUUAACCUGGGAACUGCGUUGGAAACUAUGAGACUAGAGUGCGGCCGAGGGGGGUGGAAUUCCAGGUGUAGCAGUGAAAUGCGUAGAUAUCUGGAGGAACACCGAUGGCGAAGGCAGCCCCCUGGGCC
rnacentral:rRNA from 1 species